rnacentral:rRNA from 1 species
AUUGAACGCUGGCGGCAUGCCUUACACAUGCAAGUCGAACGGCAGCACGGGAGCAAUCCUGGUGGCGAGUGGCGAACGGGUGAGUAAUAUAUCGGAACGUGCCCAGUCGUGGGGAUAACGUAGCGAAAGCUACGCUAAUACCGCAUACGAUCUACGGAUGAAAGCGGGGGAUCGCAAGACCUCGCGCGAUUGGAGCGGCCGAUAUCAGAUUAGGUAGUUGGUGAGGUAAAGGCUCACCAAGCCGACGAUCUGUAGCUGGUCUGAGAGGACGACCAGCCACACUGGGACUGAGACACGGCCCAGACUCCUACGGGAGGCAGCAGUGAGGAAUAUUGGACAAUGGGCGCAAGCCU